AGCGAACGUUAGCGGCGCGCCUAACACAUGCAAGUCGCACGAGAAAGGGAGCAAUCCCGGUACAGUGGCGCACGGGUGAGUAACACGUAGAUGACCUUCCCUGGAGUGGUGGAUAACCUGCCGAAAGGCGGGCUAAUACAGCAUGGGACCACAUGGUUUUUGACCGAGUGGUGAAAGCGGGCCUCUGUUCACAAGCUCGCGCUCUGGGAUGGGUCUGCGUCCCAUCAGCUAGUUGGUGAGGUAAUGGCUCACCAAGGCAUCGACGGGUAGCUGGUCUGAGAGGAUGACCAGCCACACUGGAACUGAGACACGGUCCAGACUCCUACGGGAGGCAGCAGUGGGGAAUCUUGCGCAAUGGGCGAAAGCCUGACGCAGCGACGCCGCGUGGGUGAUGAAGGCCUCGGUUGUAAG
rnacentral:rRNA from 1 species